rnacentral:rRNA from 1 species
UAUGACCUCUGACCUCAAAUCAGGU